rnacentral:pre_miRNA from 1 species
CGUGCACCGGUGGGGUCCCUCGGCCUGGCCUGUGCCCUCUUGCAAUCCAGGUCCCCUGGAGGAUGUCGGAGAGCCAGAUUCAGCCCAAUCUCACAGGCCAGGCCGAGGGACCCCACCAGUGCACG